GCCAUUGUGGCUCAGUGAUUAGAGCAUCGGCCUGUGAACCAAAGAAUGGGGGUUUGAUUCCCAGUCAAGGGCA
rfam:Myotis lucifugus cont2.42311, whole genome shotgun sequence.